GUUUCGGACAGGUAAUGGCGGACAUGCGAUAGUUCGGGCUGACUUAUAUUCCAACAUAGGAAGUGUUAUAAACAGCUGAUCGGAUCGGCAAAGCCUGUUUCUGGAAUAUUGUGUUUUUGUUGCUGCAAGUCUGGAAUAUUAUGUUUUUGUUGCUGGAAGUGCUUUUUAUGCAAUUUUUUGCAAAGCUAUAUGUGGAAGAAAACCGUGACCUAGGGCAAGCUAAUGGAAUAAGAUAUGGCAGGAGUGACGCCCACUGUGGUCUUCUGCUGCUGCUUCAUCCGUUUUAAGGUUCAACUUGACACCCACGUGUGCUCUUCUGCAAACCUUGGCUGUAUCAGUUGCUCCAGGUUUGUUGGCAGAUUUGUUGGCUCCUCUUCUAUCACAUCUCGACAGGUGUCCAAAGCAGGCUGGCCAUUCUUCUCUGACCUCUGGCAUCAACAAGGCACGUCCACCAAGAGAACUGCUGUUCACUGCAUAAUUUCUCUUGUUCAGACUAUUCUCUAUAAACCCUAAAGAUGGUUGUGUGGGGAAAAAACCCAGUAAAUCAGCAGCUUCUGAAAUGUUCAGACCUGGUUUAUGGUUGAACAAUGCUUAUGAUGGUACUUAUAGGGAAAAGGAAAACAAUCCUCAUCACAUUUUUAAAUGUAAGAUAAGAGGACAGUUGAAUAGUGUAUCAUACAUGAUCUGCACCAAUAUAAUACAAAUAAAAAUAUAAAAAGGCAAGAUAAAGCCACUAUACAGCACUUUUCUACUCUGAGCACUCAAAGCCCUUUGCACAACUUGCCUCAUUCACACAAGCACUUUUUCUAUGCUCUUUCUACAUACGUGCUUUCUAUCUAACAUGCACACACAUUCAUACUAUGAUGAAUGCAUUGGAGAGCAACUUGGGAUUAGUAUUUUGCCCAAGGAUAUUGGGCAUGCAGAUAGGAGGGAUCGAACCACUAACCUUUUGAUCAGCAGAUAACCUGUUCCUUAUAUCUACCACUAAAGCCUCUUUUCCAUUAGUAUCUACUCGGUUUGACUUGACUCAACUCUACUGGGUUUUGGUCGUUUUCCAUUACAACUGAGCACUAUACCGGUAUCUAUACCGACUCGGCCAAAAGUCUCAGGAUGUCAUUUGUAUGCACCACAAAUACAGCAGAACAAUGGAGGACGUUGAGGCAAUUCUAUACCUGCUGCUUGGUGUAUGGCUUUCUGUCAGACUCGGUGAUCACGGUGUUGGUUUGUGUGUAGCCAUUUCCCUCCUUGCCA
ensembl:lncRNA